UUGUCUGUUAGUUUAUGUUUUGAUAGUUUCCUUUUCUGAAUUACUCAGUGUUGUCCACGUACUAGUUGUUAUAUAAAAAUUGUCGUUCUCCUUAUGAUGGCUGUACACCAGAUAUACUCAGGACAUAUUGAAACAUGAAUUACCAUUUCUACCACAUGGGAAAGUUUCAACAUCCUACGUUGAAAAUGGACUGGACGAUCCUGAUAAUAAUAAUAGUUUUAUGCAUAGUACGAGUAAUGGAUAUUGAAUAUAAUUGAUAGUCAAUUAAUAGUAGUGUAACAAAAAAUGGCUGUACACCAGAUAUACUCAGGACAUAUUGAAACAUGAAUUACCAUUUCUACCACAUGGGAAAGUUUCAACAUCCUACGUUGAAAAUGGACUGGACGAUCCUGAUAAUAAUAAUAGUUUUAUGCAUAAUGGCUGUACACCAGAUAUACUCAGGACAUAUUGAAACAUGAAUUACCAUUUCUACCACAUGGGAAAGUUUCAACAUCCUACGUUGAAAAUGGACUGGACGAUCCUGAUAAUAAUAAUAGUUUUAUGCAUAAUGGCUGUACACCAGAUAUACUCAGGACAUAUUGAAACAUGAAUUACCAUUUCUACCACAUGGGAAAGUUUCAACAUCCUACGUUGAAAAUGGACUGGACGAUCCUGAUAAUAAUAAUAGUUUUAUGCAUAAUGGCUGUACACCAGAUAUACUCAGGACAUAUUGAAACAUGAAUUACCAUUUCUACCACAUGGGAAAGUUUCAACAUCCUACGUUGAAAAUGGACUGGACGAUCCUGAUAAUAAUAAUAGUUUUAUGCAUAAUGGCUGUACACCAGAUAUACUCAGGACAUAUUGAAACAUGAAUUACCAUUUCUACCACAUGGGAAAGUUUCAACAUCCUACGUUGAAAAUGGACUGGACGAUCCUGAUAAUAAUAAUAGUUUUAUGCAUAAUGGCUGUACACCAGAUAUACUCAGGACAUAUUGAAACAUGAAUUACCAUUUCUACCACAUGGGAAAGUUUCAACAUCCUACGUUGAAAAUGGACUGGACGAUCCUGAUAAUAAUAAUAGUUUUAUGCAU